rnacentral:rRNA from 1 species
AUAUCAAUAAGCGGAGGAAAAGAAACCAACAGGGAUUACCUCAGUAACGGCGAGUGAAGCGGUAACAGCUCAAAUUUGAAAGCUGCCAACAGGCCGCGUUGUAAUUUGUAGAAGAUGCUUUGGGUGAGGCUCCGGUCUAAGUUCCUUGGAACAGGACGUCAUAGAGGGUGAGAAUCCCGUACGUGACUGGUUGCCUUCGCCCGUGUAAAGCUCUUUCGACGAGUCGAGUUGUUUGGGAAUGCAGCUCAAAGUGGAUGG